UACGGAGGAUCCAAGCGUUUAUCCGGAUUUAUUGGGUUUAAAGGGUGCGUAGGCGGCCUAUUAAGUCAGGGGUGAAAGACGGUAGCUUAACUAUCGCAGUGCCUUUGAUACUGAUGGGCUUGAAUGUACUUGAGGUAGGCGGAAUGUGACAAGUAGCGGUGAAAUGCAUAGAUAUGUCACAGAACACCAAUUGGCGAAGGCAGCUUACUAAAGUAUGAUUGACGCUGGAGGCACGAAAGCGUGGGGAUCAAACAGG
rnacentral:rRNA from 1 species